rnacentral:snRNA from 1 species
GUGCUCACUUCAGCAACACAUACACCAAAAUUGGAAUAAUACAGAGAAGAUUAGCAUGAUCCCUUGCACAAGAAUAAUAUGCAAAUCAGUCAGUGUGAAACACCUUAA